rnacentral:lncRNA from 1 species
GUCCCAUGGGUGCUGUUAUGGGGGUCCCAGGGGGGUCCCAGGGCUUAUGUGGGGGUCCUAGGGUUGAUAUAGGGGUCCCAGGGGUGCUGAUAUGGGGGUCCCAGGGGGGGAUAUGGGGUCCUAGGGUUGAUAUGGGGGUCCCAGGGGUGCUGAUAUGGGGGUCCCAGGGUGGAUAUGGGGGUCCCAGGGGAUGAUAUGGGGGUCCCAGGGGUGCUGAUAUGGGGGUCCCAGGGGUGCUGUUAUGGGGGUCCCAGGGGUGCUGUUAUGGGGGUACCAGGGGGGAUAUGGGGUUUCCAGGGGGGAUAUGAGGGUCCCAUGGGUGCUGAUAUGGGGGUCCCAAGGGCAAUAUGAGGGUCCCAGGGCUUACGUGGGGGUCUCAGGGUUGAUAUGGGAGUCCCAGGGGGGUCCCAGGGGGGAUAUGGGGGUCCCAGGGGUGAUAUGGGGGUCCCAGGGGGGAUAUGGGGGUCCCAAGGGUGCUGCUAUGGGGGUCCCAGGGGUGCUGUUAUGGGGGUCCCAUGGGUGCUGUUAUGGGGGUCCCAGGGGUGAUAUGGGGGUCCCAUGGGUGCUGUUAUGGGGGUCCCAAGUUUGAUGAUAUGGGGGUCCCAGGGGAGAUAUGGGGGUCCAAGGGGGUCCCAGGGGUGAUAUGAGGGUCCCAGGGGGGUCCUAGGAGCAAUAUGAGGGUCCCAAGGGUGAUAUGGGGGUCCCAGGGGGUCCCAGGGGGGGAUAUGGGGGUCCUGAUAUGGGGGUCCCAUGGCGGUCCCAGGGGGGAUAUGGGGGUCCCAAGGGUGAUAUGGGGGUCCCAGGGCUUAUGUGGGGGUCCUAGGGUUGAUAUGGGGGUCCCAGGGGGGAUAUGGGGGUCUCAGGUGGGUCCCAGGGGUGCUGUUAUGGGGGUCCCAGGGGGGUCCCAGGGGGAAUAUGGGAGUCCCAGGGGGGUCCCAAGGGGGAUAUGGGGGUCCCAGGGUGAUAUGGGGGUCCCAGGGGGGUUCCCAGGGGGUGCUGCUAUGGGGGGGGCAUCAAGGGGGUCCCAGGGGUGAAAUAGUGGGGGUCCCAGGUG